AGCAAAAACGAAGAUCUGAACGCGGAGGAU
rnacentral:piRNA from 1 species